AUACCCGCUGAACUUAAGCAUAUCAAUAAGCGGAGGAAAAGAAACAACAGGGAUUGCCUAGUAACGGCGAGUGAAGCGGCAACAGCUCAAAUUUGAAAUCUGGCUCUCGGGCCCGAGUUGUAAUUUGUAGAGGAUGUUUCUGGCGACGUGUCUUCCGAGUUCCCUGGAACGGGACGCCAUAGAGGGUGAGAGCCCCGUCCGGUCGUACGCCUAGCCUCUGUGAAACUCCUUCGACGAGUCGAGUAGUUUGGGAAUGCUGCUCAAAAUGGGAGGUAUACGUCUUCUAAAGCUAAAUACCGGCCAGAGACCGAUAGCGCACAAGUAGAGUGAUCGAAAGAUGAAAAGCACUUUGAAAAGAGGGUUAAAUAGUACGUGAAAUUGCUGAAAGGGAAGCGCUCAUGACCAGACUUGGGCUCGGUGAAUCAUCCGGCGUUCUCGCCGGUGCACUUUGCCGGCCCAGGCCAGCAUCAGCUCGCCUCGGGGGAUAAAGGCUUCGGGAAUGUAGCUCCCUCGUGGAGUGUUAUAGACCGUUGCGUAAUACCUGGGGCGGGCUGAGGUACGCGUUCUGCAAGGAUGCUGGCGUAAUGGUCAUCAGUGACCCGUCUUGAAACACGGACCAAGGAGUCGUCUUCGUAUGCGAGUGUUCGGGUGUCAAACCCCUACGCGUAAUGAAAGUGAACGUAGGAGAGAGCUUCGGCGCAUCUCCGACCGAUCCUGAUGUUCUCGGAUGGAUUUGAGUAAGAGCAUACGGGGCCGGACCCGAAAGAAGGUGAACUAUGCCUGUAUAGGGUGAAGCCAGAGGAAACUCUGGUGGAGGCUCGCAGCGGUUCUGACGUGCAAAUCGAUCGUCAAAUAUGGGCAUGGGGGCGAAAGACUAAUCGAACC
rnacentral:rRNA from 1 species